rnacentral:ncRNA from 1 species
AACAUACAGCAACGCCGUGGCUUCGGGCGAAACCCGAAGAUCAACAAGGGAAGUCGGGUGAAAAACCCGCGCUUGCACAGGAUUUUUUGCAAGCUGUAAGCGUUGAGCGGAUGCGUACAAAAGGGGCGCUUUGCCCGGUCAUUGGGAAACCGAGAAGGCUUACGCAGCCGCGCAGGCACGGGCGGAUUUCGCCGUGCCGUAUUCGCAAGCCAGAAGACCUACGAACGUUUUAUUCUCCGC